GCAGCUCUCUGGCCCUCGGUUAUUCGGCUCAAGUCUCAGUUCUGCCAAGUGCCCAGAAACAUGAGCUCCUUGAUUUCUCUCAGUCUGCUGCUGGCUGUCUUCUCCCGUGUACAGGCCGAUGUGGUGCUGACACAGCCGCCGACUCUAACCGGGGAACCUGGCCAGGCCCUGAGACUGACCUGCAAAACCAGCGGGUUUGAUCUCAGUACCAGCUGGAUGACCUGGUUCCGACAGGUUCCGGGGAAGGGGCUGGAAUGGCUCCUUGAAUACAAGAAUCCAUCCAACAAGAAUUACGCGCCUGGGAUUGAAAACCGUGUCACUGUCAUCAAAGAGGAUUCCAAAAACAUCUUCGAUUUGAUCAUCAAAAGCCCGAGAGUGAACGACACCGCCAUCUAUUACUGUGCAAGAGGGUCACACGCUUGGCCAGCGGCUGCUGCAGGUUCUACUGAUCACAACCACAAGUCAGACAGGAUUCCCUGUGAGAGGCUUUUCCUGAGCACCACACUGAUUAAACUCCUUCAUUCCCCAUCUGUACCUACUCCUCCCAGACUUUACGCCCUGCUGGCAUCCUGUGGAGAAUCCGCUUCUGGAGGCUCAGUGACUGUCGGGUGUCUUGCCUCCAGCUACAGCCCCGAUCCGGCCAUUUUCACCUGGACAUCAGAUAAGCAGCUCAUCACUGAACAAGUCAAGACUUAUCCCUCAGUGCUCAACAGGAACGGUCUCCACACUGUGAGCAGUCAGUUAACAAUCGCUGAAUCCCAGCUGGGAAACAGCAACAUCCAUUGCAAGGUUUCACAUAAAAGCAACAGCUGGCCAGCCGUGGAAAUCCCCUUGGAAGGACCGUUGCCUCCCGUUGUUGUCGUCACACAGUCUUCCCCUGAUGACAUCGCAAUGCAAAAACCGGCCACUGUUGUCUGCUUAAUAUCUGGUUUCCGUCCGGACAAUCUCAGGGUGGAUUGGCUGAAGGAUUGGCAGCCCAUCAACUCAGGUGUUGUGACCUCUCCCUCGGUUAAAGGCAAUGGGACAUUCAGCACCAGCAGCCGUCUGACUGUCCCCGCCAGAGAGUGGAAGAGCGGCUCCGUGUACACCUGCCAAGUAACCCAUGACCCCACACACACGAUCAUUGUCAACAACAUCACCAAGUACUACCCAGGUGGUGGGUGUCUUGAACAAGUCAAGGUUUCUUUCCUGCCACCUUCACCGAAACAAGUGUUGAUGGAAUGCACUGUAACGCUGACAUGUGUAGUGACUAAUGCACCACUUGACGUCAACGUGACUUGGACAAAUGAACAGACACAUUUACAGUCUGGAUAUGGGAAACCGUCUGCCACUGAGCCUAAGGAAGUGAUCAGUAAAUUAAACAUUUCUACACAAGACUGGACCAGUGGGAAAGUAUACUUCUGCGUUGCCAGCCAUGACGACAUGCCGACUCCGAAAAGAGGAAAGAUAUCUAAGGGGCAAGUUGGGUACACGAAACAACCUUCAGUGUACCUGCUCCUCCCCUCGGCAGAAGAAUUGUCUGCUCAGCAGACUGUCACCCUCAGCUGCCUGGUGAAGGACUUCUCUCCCAAAGAGAUAUUUGUGGAGUGGACUGUGAAUGACCAUUUGAUUGAUGGCAACAAAUACAAGAACACCGAGUUGAUGGCAGAAAGUUCAGAUGGCAACACCUCCAUGUACAGCAUGUUAUCCAUCUCAGCCCGAGAGUGGGACCGCGGCUAUUCCUUCUCCUGUGUGGUCGGACAUGAAACUUUCCCACUGAAGACCCUGACCAGAGUCGUUAAUAAAUCCAGCGAUUUCCCAAAUGAGAUGACGCUGGAAGUUUUUCAAAAAGAUGAAAGUGACAACCUCUGGCCGACUGCUUCCACCUUCAUCAUACUCUUCUUCCUGUGUAUUUUGUACAGCGCCACAGUCACUCUGUUUAAGAUGAACAUCGUCUUAGUCGAAGCGUUAGAGAGCGUCACCAUCCACAGUGAUCACAAGCAAAGCUUUCUCUUAUUGGCUGCAGAAAACGUCAGUGACAUUUGA